rnacentral:lncRNA from 1 species
UCCUCCACGUCUUUGGUAGCCUUCAUGCCUCUAGUUCGGGGAACCAGGGUCCGACGUCCGCAUGUAUAUACGCCUUCCUAAUAAGUAACUUUUGGGUAGGUUAGUUUGCCCAUGGCAGGGUUAGUGUUGCAUUCGGGUAUUUGUCGUUGAUGGCAUCCUCUGUGAUGAAAAUCCCCUGUCGCUUAGCAUCAAGGUACGUCUUCCAGUUCCUGAUGGAGUUGGAACUGGGUUGGUGUGUAACAGUGUAAGGAUCCUCUUCUUUAUUCUUUCAUUGCUCGUCUAUCGGAUUUUGCCAUCGUGGCGACAUGCAUCUGUUUCUGAUCUUUGUGAUGAUUUUACAGGCGCCCAUACGGUGGAACCUUCGGUAGUUCAAGUAUUCAGCCACUUGGUUGUCGUGCCAC